rnacentral:rRNA from 1 species
GUGGGUAGUUUGACUGGGGCGGUCUCCUCCUAAAGAGUAACGGAGGAGCACGAAGGUUGGCUAAUCCUGGUCGGACAUCAGGAGGUUAGUGCAAUGGCAUAAGCCAGCUUGACUGCGAGCGUGACGGCGCGAGCAGGUGCGAAAGCAGGUCAUAGUGAUCCGGUGGUUCUGAAUGGAAGGGCCAUCGCUCAACGGAUAAAAGGUACUCCGGGGAUAACAGGCUGAUACCGCCCAAGAGUUCAUAUCGACGGCGGUGUUUGGCACCUCGAUGUCGGCUCAUCACAUCCUGGGGCUGAAGUAGGUCCCAAGGGUAUGGCUGUUCGCCAUUUAAAGUGGUACGCGAGCUGGGUUUAGAACGUCGUGAGACAGUUCGGUCCCUAUCUGCCGUGGGCGCUGGAGAACUGAGGGGGGCUGCUCCUAGUACGAGAGGACCGGAGUGGACGCAUCACUGGUGUUCGGGUUGUCAUGCCAAUGGCACUGCCCGGUAGCUAAAUGCGGAAGAGAUAAGUGCUGAAAGCAUCUAAGCACGAAACUUGCCCCGAGAUGAGUUCUCCCUGAGACUUAAAGUCUCCUGAAGGAACGUUGAAGACGACGACGUUGAUAGGCCGGGUGUGUAAGCGCAGCGAUGCGU